rnacentral:misc_RNA from 1 species
UUUCAAUAAUAAUUUUUACGAGCUUAAGAAAAAGAUAGUCUUGUAUAUCUAUUUAAUUCUUCAUGCACCAAUAAUUUUUUUUUUCCAAGGGGUUGUUUAAUUUCUUGUUGUUUGUAAUGGGUGAAAAUUACUUAAAAACACCCUUCUAUUGGUAUAUACUGUAUGAAUGCUUUAACCUAAUGGGUAUGGUACAGAAAUAAAAUACAUGCACG